GGGGCCUUAGCUCAGCUGGUAGAGCGCUGCCUUUGCAAGGCAGAUGUCAGGAGUUCGAAUCUCCUAGGCUCCA
rfam:Nocardioides sp. Root614 contig_1, whole genome shotgun sequence.